GGUAUCUGGUCCGCUUUGGAAAAAGUUGAGCUGAAGAACGUUCGGUUAGUACUAUGUUGGGAGAUCACAUUGGCAUCGUGAAUGCCGAGAACGAAGGUGCGAUAAAGACGCGUCGGGCGACUGCGACGACGACCGACAGGAUGGUUUGUUUAAUACGAGAUACGAGAUCUGGUAUCUGCUGGAUUUCGAUCUAAUCUGUAAUUCAAUAAGUCCUCCUCUGUUACGUCUCUUUCACAUUGGGGCAGGCCCCUAGUCUGCAUCAAAUUUUCGGAACAGUUAUAAGCAACGUUUGCCAUUGCCUGCUAUAGUCACCUUCGAGUGUGAAAGGUUCAAAUGGGUAUUGGUCGGGCCCCAUACGUGGCUUGGGGGAGCAACUCACCAGCCCAUGGGCAUGGCGAGGUGGUCAAUCAAGGUUUGCCAAGUCUUCAUCGACUGCAUUCAGCGUACGGAGGGGGGUUAAUCCAUCAGAAAGAGUUUAUCGUUAGCAUACGCGCCAUCUGAGGGGCCGAGACAGAGAUAUGGCUCUAUUAAAUGUGGAGUCGUUUGGGGAGAGGUUAGGCACGAUGUGUCGAGUAAUCAGAGAUGUCUAAAUGCAUGAGAAACAAAUCC
rnacentral:sRNA from 1 species